rnacentral:rRNA from 1 species
GGGUUGUGAGGUUAAGCGACUAAGCGUACACGGUGGAUGCCCUGGCAGUCAGAGGCGAUGAAGGACGUGCUAAUCUGCGAUAAGCGUCGGUAAGGUGAUAUGAACCGUUAUAACCGGCGAUUUCCGAAUGGGGAAACCCAGUGUGAUUCGUCACACUAUCAUUAACUGAAUCCAUAGGUUAAUGAGGCGAACCGGGGGAACUGAAACAUCUAAGUACCCCGAGGAAAAGAAAUCAACCGAGAUUCCCCCAGUAGCGGCGAGCGAACGGGGAGCAGCCCAGAGCCUGAAUCAGUGUGUGUGUUAGUGGAAGCGUCUGGAAAGGCGCGCGAUACAGGGUGACAGCCCCGUACACAAAAAUGCACAUACUGUGAGCUCGAUGAGUAGGGCGGGACACGUGGUAUCCUGUCUGAAUAUGGGGGGACCAUCCUCCAAGGCUAAAUACUCCUGACUGACCGAUAGUGAACCAGUACCGUGAGGGAAAGGCGAAAAGAACCCCGGCGAGGGGAGUGAAAAAGAACCUGAAACCGUGUACGUACAAGCAGUGGGAGCACGCUUAGGCGUGUGACUGCGUACCUUUUGUAUAAUGGGUCAGCGACUUAUAUUCUGUAGCAAGGUUAACCGAAUAGGGGAGCCGAAGGGAAACCGAGUCUUAACUGGGCGUUAAGUUGCAGGGUAUAGACCCGAAACCCGGUGAUCUAGCCAUGGGCAGGUUGAAGGUUGGGUAACACUAACUGGAGGACCGAACCGACUAAUGUUGAAAAAUUAGCGGAUGACUUGUGGCUGGGGGUGAAAGGCCAAUCAAACCGGGAGAUAGCUGGUUCUCCCCGAAAGCUAUUUAGGUAGCGCCUCGUGAAUUCAUCUCCGGGGGUAGAGCACUGUUUCGGCAAGGGGGUCAUCCCGACUUACCAACCCGAUGCAAACUGCGAAUACCGGAGAAUGUUAUCACGGGAGACACACGGCGGGUGCUAACGUCCGUCGUGAAGAGGGAAACAACCCAGACCGCCAGCUAAGGUCCCAAAGUCAUGGUUAAGUGGGAAACGAUGUGGGAAGGCCCAGACAGCCAGGAUGUUGGCUUAGAAGCAGCCAUCAUUUAAAGAAAGCGUAAUAGCUCACUGGUCGAGUCGGCCUGCGCGGAAGAUGUAACGGGGCUAAACCAUGCACCGAAGCUGCGGCAGCGACGCUGAUGCGUUGUUGGGUAGGGGAGCGUUCUGUAAGCCUGUGAAGGUGUGCUGUGAGGCAUGCUGGAGGUAUCAGAAGUGCGAAUGCUGACAUAAGUAACGAUAAAGCGGGUGAAAAGCCCGCUCGCCGGAAGACCAAGGGUUCCUGUCCAACGUUAAUCGGGGCAGGGUGAGUCGACCCCUAAGGCGAGGCCGAAAGGCGUAGUCGAUGGGAAACAGGUUAAUAUUCCUGUACUUGGUGUUACUGCGAAGGGGGGACGGAGAAGGCUAUGUUGGCCGGGCGACGGUUGUCCCGGUUUAAGCGUGUAGGCUGGUUUUCCAGGCAAAUCCGGAAAAUCAAGGCUGAGGCGUGAUGACGAGGCACUACGGUGCUGAAGCAACAAAUGCCCUGCUUCCAGGAAAAGCCUCUAAGCAUCAGGUAACAUCAAAUCGUACCCCAAACCGACACAGGUGGUCAGGUAGAGAAUACCAAGGCGCUUGAGAGAACUCGGGUGAAGGAACUAGGCAAAAUGGUGCCGUAACUUCGGGAGAAGGCACGCUGAUAUGUAGGUGAAGCGACUUGCUCGUGGAGCUGAAAUCAGUCGAAGAUACCAGCUGGCUGCAACUGUUUAUUAAAAACACAGCACUGUGCAAACACGAAAGUGGACGUAUACGGUGUGACGCCUGCCCGGUGCCGGAAGGUUAAUUGAUGGGGUCAGCGCAAGCGAAGCUCUUGAUCGAAGCCCCGGUAAACGGCGGCCGUAACUAUAACGGUCCUAAGGUAGCGAAAUUCCUUGUCGGGUAAGUUCCGACCUGCACGAAUGGCGUAAUGAUGGCCAGGCUGUCUCCACCCGAGACUCAGUGAAAUUGAACUCGCUGUGAAGAUGCAGUGUACCCGCGGCAAGACGGAAAGACCCCGUGAACCUUUACUAUAGCUUGACACUGAACAUUGAGCCUUGAUGUGUAGGAUAGGUGGGAGGCUUUGAAGUGUGGACGCCAGUCUGCAUGGAGCCGGCCUUGAAAUACCACCCUUUAAUGUUUGAUGUUCUAACGUUGACCCGUGAUCCGGGUUGCGGACAGUGUCUGGUGGGUAGUUUGACUGGGGCGGUCUCCUCCUAAAGAGUAACGGAGGAGCACGAAGGUUGGCUAAUCCUGGUCGGACAUCAGGAGGUUAGUGCAAUGGCAUAAGCCAGCUUGACUGCGAGCGUGACGGCGCGAGCAGGUGCGAAAGCAGGUCAUAGUGAUCCGGUGGUUCUGAAUGGAAGGGCCAUCGCUCAACGGAUAAAAGGUACUCCGGGGAUAACAGGCUGAUACCGCCCAAGAGUUCAUAUCGACGGCGGUGUUUGGCACCUCGAUGUCGGCUCAUCACAUCCUGGGGCUGAAGUAGGUCCCAAGGGUAUGGCUGUUCGCCAUUUAAAGUGGUACGCGAGCUGGGUUUAGAACGUCGUGAGACAGUUCGGUCCCUAUCUGCCGUGGGCGCUGGAGAACUGAGGGGGGCUGCUCCUAGUACGAGAGGACCGGAGUGGACGCAUCACUGGUGUUCGGGUUGUCAUGCCAAUGGCACUGCCCGGUAGCUAAAUGCGGAAGAGAUAAGUGCUGAAAGCAUCUAAGCACGAAACUUGCCCCGAGAUGAGUUCUCCCUGACUCCUUGAGAGUCCUGAAGGAACGUUGAAGACGACGACGUUGAUAGGCCGGGUGUGUAAGCGCAGCGAUGCGUUGAGCUAACCGGUACUAAUGAACCGUGAGGCUUAACCUUACAACGCCGAAG